UAUCGAUUUGAGACUUCAUGCUAUGAUACACCCGAGAAGGGUAGUUGCAAGUUUGCUUAUGACAGGUCACCUCGACAGGAUUUGGAGUGGAUGAUUGGGCAUCCCAACUCAGUAUGGAGAGCACCUCCUUGGCCAUCUGCUGCACACAUUGGACCGCCUCCUUGCGGUUAUAUGCCUCAAGCCCCAGCUUACAAUGCACCCACACAGUGCAGGGAUGCUGCUGCAGAGUCUA
rnacentral:lncRNA from 1 species